CUUUCCCUCUGGCGGCAGGCCUAACACAUGCAAGUCGAGCGGAUGAAGGGAGCUUGCUCCUGGAUUCAGCGGCGGACGGGCGAGUAAUGCCUAGGAAGCUGCCUGGUAGUGGGGGAUAACGUCCGGAAACGGGCGCUAAUACCGCAUACGUCCUGAGGUAGAAAGGGGGGGAUCUUCGGACCUCACGCUAUCAGAUGAGCCUGGGUCGGAUUAGCUAGUUGGUGGGGUAAAGGCGUACCAAGGCGGCGAUCCGUAACUGGUCUGAGAGGAUGAUCAGCCACACGGGAACGGAGACCGGGUCCAGACUCCUACGGGAGGCAGCAGUGGGGAUUUUGGCGAAAUGGGCGAAAGCUUGACCAAGCAACGCGGCGUGGGUGAGGAAGUUCUUCGGAUCGUAAACCCCUUUAAUUAGGGAGAAACGCAGGAAGUUAAAACCUUGCUGUUUUGGACUUUACAACAGAAUAAGCACCGGGUAACUUCGUG
rnacentral:rRNA from 1 species